rnacentral:rRNA from 1 species
GUCCCACGUUCGGAUUGUAGUCUGNAACCCGACUACAUGAAGCUGGAAUCGCUAGUAAUCGCAGGUCAGCAUACUGCGGUGAAUACGUUCCCGGGUCUUGUAUACACCGCCCGUCACACCAUGGGAGCCGGAAAUGCCCGAAGCCAGUGACCCAACCUUAGGGAGGGAGCUGUCGAAGGUGGAGCCGGUAACUGGGGUGAAGUCGUAACAAGGUAUC